UGAGGAAUAUUGGUCAAUGGCCGGAAGGACUGAACCAGCCAAGCCGCGUGAAGGACGAAGGUGCCAAGCAUUGUAAACUUCUUUUGUCAAGGGACAAAAUCAGGCUCGAGAGCCUGACCGAGGGUACUUGAAGAAAAAGCAUCGGCUAACUCCGUCGCC
rnacentral:rRNA from 1 species